rnacentral:rRNA from 1 species
CUUUACUAUAGCUUCACAGUGGCACCAUGAUUGUAACGUGUAGGAUAGGUGGGAGGCUUUGAAGCCGGGACGCUAGUUUCGGUGGAGCCAAAACUGAAAUACCACCCUUUGCUCUUGUGUUGUCUAACCGAGGUCCGUUAUCCGGAUCCGGGACCCUGUGUGGUGGGUAGUUUGACUGGGGCGGUCGCCUCCUAAAGAGUAACGGAGGCGCGCGAUGGUGAGCUCAGGACGGUCGGAAAUCGUCCAUUGAGUGCAAUGGCAUAAGCUCGCCUUACUGUGAGACUGACACGUCGAACAGUGUCGAAAGACGGUCAUAGUGAUCCGGUGGUUUCCGCAUGGAAGGGCCAUCGCUCAACGGAUAAAAGGUA